rnacentral:rRNA from 1 species
AAUGAACGCUGGCGGCGUGGAUUAGGCAUGCAAGUCGAACGAGAAAGUAGUCUUCGGAUUGCGAGUACAGUGGCGGACGGGUGAGUAAUGCCUAGGAAUCUGCCUAGUAGUGGGGGAUAACGUCCGGAAACGGGCGCUAAUACCGCAUACGUCCUACGGGAGAAAGUGGGGGAUCUUCGGACCUCACGCUAUUAGAUGAGCCUAGGUCGGAUUAGCUAGUUGGUGAGGUAAUGGCUCACCAAGGCGACGAUCCGUAACUGGUCUGAGAGGAUGAUCAGUCACACUGGAACUGAGACACGGUCCAGACUCCUACGGGA